rnacentral:rRNA from 1 species
UACGUAGGGUGCAAGCGUUGUCCGGAAUUAUUGGGCGUAAAGAGCUCGUAGGCGGUCUGUCGCGUCUGCUGUGAAAACUCAGGGCUUAACCCUGAGCUUGCAGUGGGUACGGGCAGACUAGAGUGCGGUAGGGGAGACUGGAAUUCCUGGUGUAGCGGUGAAAUGCGCAGAUAUCAGGAGGAACACCGGUGGCGAAGGCGGAUCUCUGGGCCUUACCUGACGCUCAGGCGCGAAAGCUAGGGGAGCGAACAGG